GAGUGGUACAUAUUCCAAUAUCUUAAAAGAAGUUAUUGUUCCUGUGAUUGAUAACUCUCAAUGUCAAACGCUUCUCAGGGAGACGAGGCUAUACAAACAUUUUAAAUUGUACAGUGAAUUCAUUUGUGCUGGUGGAGAAGAGAAGAAAGACUCUUGUAAGGGAGACGGAGGCGGUCCUUUAGUGUGUUGGAGGCAGGGCGGUAGAUAUGAAUUGGCUGGCAUCGUAUCCUGGGGUAUCGAUUGUGGCACGGAAGGCGUGCCCGGUGUUUACGUCCGAGUUCAGGGCUAUCUUGAUUGGAUAACCUCGAUUACACAACGUCCAAUCCAAAGCUACUGGCCAGAAAUAUGAAAUACAUGUAGUCUGACACGCGUUCAGUUGUAUUUGAUGAAUUCUGUAUAAAACUCGGACUUUCUUUAAAAUUUAACGUGUUAUGUUUGAUAUUGUAAUGGUUCUAAUUUGUAUUAUCAAUACUGGUAUAAAAGCCCGUCAAAAAUGACAGGAAA